rnacentral:rRNA from 1 species
CCUACGGGAGGCAGCAGUGAGGAAUAUUGGUCAAUGGCCGGAAGGCUGAACCAGCCAUGCCGCGUGAAGGUCAGUGCCCUAUGGGCGUUAAACUUCUUUUGUGCGGGAGCAAUAAUGGUCACGUUUGGCCAGACGAGAAUACCGUACGAAUAAGCAUCGGCUAACUCCGUGCCAGCAGGGGCGGUUAAUCGGGGGAUGCGAGAGUUAUCCGGAGUUAAUGGGGUUAAAGGGUGCGGCGGGGGUGAGGUAAGUCAGAGGUGAAAUGCCCCCGGUCAACGAGGUGAAGUGCCAUUGAUACUGCCUUGCUGGAGUGCGGAUGCGGUAGGUGGAAUGUGUGGUGUAGCGGUGAAAUGCAUAGAUAUCACGCAGAACACCGAUUGCGAAGGCAUCUCACGAGUCCGCAAUUGACGCUGAUGCACGAAAGCGUGGGUAUCAAACAGGAUUAGAUACCCCUGUAGUC